rnacentral:rRNA from 1 species
AUUGAACGCUGGCGGCAUGCUUUACACAUGCAAGUCGAACGGCAGCACGGGCUUCGGCCUGGUGGCGAGUGGCGAACGGGUGAGUAAUAUAUCGGAACGUACCCAGAAGUUGGGGAUAACGUAGCGAAAGUUACGCUAAUACCGCAUACGAUCUAUGGAUGAAAGCAGGGGACCGCAAGUCCUUGUGCUCCUGGAGCGGCCGAUAUCUGAUUAGCUAGUUGGUGAGGUAAAGGCUCACCAAGGCGACGAUCAGUAGCUGGUCUGAGAGGACGACCAGCCACACUGGAACUGAGACACGGUCCAGACUCCUACGGGAGGCAGCAGUGGGGAAUUUUGGACAAUGGGCGCAAGCCUGAUCCAGCAAUGCCGCGUGAGUGAAGAAGGCCUUCGGGUUGUAAAGCUCUUUUGUCAGGGAAGAAACGGUAGAGGCUAAUAUCCUUUGCUAAUGACGGUACCUGAAGAAUAAGCACCGGCUAACUACGUG